rnacentral:lncRNA from 1 species
AGGGAUGAUGCAAGGGAAAUAACGUACUGGGUAAACGAAGCAGACUACUUUACUAUAUAUAGGAGGAUAAGGAGAGAGGAAAGAAAUAGUAAGUCGGAAGAAGCUGCCCCAACCUCUCUUGUUGCACUCAUACUCGAUGGAGCUGUCUGUCUCUGGCAUACCUACUACUAAUGCGGGAAGAGGCUGCCAGUUCAAUCUCAUAUCCUCAUAUCUAUACCUAUGAUAAAGUAGCUACCGAGAGAAGUAAGAAAAGCGUUUCACCGCUCUAUCAGGUAACGAAACAACACAGGAGGGAGAAGACGACAGAGCACCACUGCCCUCUUUUAGGGUGAGUGAGGAAGAAGAAAAGCACAAGACGAGCGGCGUCCUUCUCGAUAGCUGCUCCAUAACCCCCAACCUUGUUGUGUGCCCUUGCUCUAGUGAAUGAGGCAGAAGCAGUAGUGACAUCGAGCAACUACUACUAUUAUAUAUAGGAGUGGGGACUACAGUGAGAGACAAGUAGUAUAUACGAGUUAUCAGCGAAGAGGGCAGAGAGGGAGGGUUACACAGAGAGCAGGACAGGAGAGGAUCGCUAGACCACUUAUUAUAUCAUCAGCUAUUAUAUAUAGUAGUAAGUAGAGGAGGUUGAGUCGGAGGUAGUGUAAGUAAGUGAAGCAGAGGAAUAAGUAAGUAAGUAAAAGUAAGUAACAUCGUAUCGAAUUGCCUCAUGAGUCGUGCUAGUGUGCUUGUGCCAGCAGAGAAGAGAAGAAGCGAAAGAGCUUAUCUCGGAAGCAUCUCCCAUCUCUCGAACUAGUACUAGACACCUUCGAUCUCGAUCGUUUACUCGAUGAGCUACUACUAGUAUUACCUCCUCACCCACUUCUUUCUUUGAAUCCCAUCUCAUAUUCAACCAGAAACUACUAACUACUACUAACAACCUUACUAUACUACUACUAUGAUCGAUCUUCAACUGGAAAAGAAACUACUUCGACGAGGGUUGUUCAUCCACUAUACGGUAUGCCUUAUAUGCUCCGUUUACAGAUCGAUGAUAUAGAAGAAGAAAAGAACCGAAGCUCCGAUAGUAGAAACAACUUGCUACACUGGCGGAUCAGCUAGUGGGGUCUGGGCAUAACAUACUGUCAGGCUCGGUUGUUGGAUGCGAGAGGCUCACGUGUGGCUCCUCGAAGCAGAUGCUCUUCUCUUCUUGUUUUGGGCCCUCACACACCUCGAAGCUCUACUCUCAGCUGACACUAGGCAUGAAGAAAAGCAUGGUUGCUUGCCCGACCUCAGUAGAAGGUUCUGGCUUGUUCGGACAUGAGCUACUAUAUAAAUAGUAGUACUACUGGCAGGCUGCGGCUCCAUCUCGGAUACUCUUUCUCCACCGAUACAUCCAUUCACUACUACUGGUGCUACUUGCCAUGGAUCUUUUGAUGACUGUCCUACUCUCUCUCUCCUUGCUUUUGACUACUCCAGCAGCUACUUACUACCUAUCUAUCUAUUUCUACUACCGCACCACCACUACCAUAGUAACUCCUCCUACUUACUAGUGUGCCCCACCCCCACCUCGAGACUGGCCUUGGAGAAUCGAAUCGAAAGUCCCACCAACAAGUCCAAGUAGUGAAGUAGUCAUGAUAUGCUGCUACUAGUUUCUAGAUGAUACACACACAUCUUUUCGUACGGUUGCGGCACUCGUUUUCAUGAGAAGGGUGGUUGCUCGGUUGUUGCAUCAUGCGGAAGCGGAGUUUUGUUAGCCGUAUACUUGCGCUACUUGGUGCUACUAUCUAAUUGUAUCCUCCUCGGCCAAUCGCUUGCCUUCUCCGAAGAAGUAGUGAAACUUUAUAUCUUCGUUAGCAUCAGAAUGAAAAACACCUCUCCCUAAGUACAGACAGCAGAUGAGCAACGACAUCGAGAGCGUGCCAAAGCAAGGUCGAAGAAGUAGCCUCGGGUGCAGCUCCCAACAAACCUCUCUAUACUAACUACUAUUAUUAUAGUGAUCAAAGCAUUGGAAAAACCUUUACUGUGUGUGUUUGUGUGUGUAGUACUACGAGACGAGAGUAAAGUAACGAUGGAACAUCCCCGGUCUA